rnacentral:rRNA from 1 species
ACUUAAAUUGAAGAGUUUGAUCAUGGCUCAGAUUGAACGCUGGCGGCAGGCCUAACACAUGCAAGUCGAGCGGUAGCACAGAGAGCUUGCUCUCGGGUGACGAGCGGCGGACGGGUGAGUAAUGUCUGGGAAACUGCCUGAUGGAGGGGGAUAACUACUGGAAACGGUAGCUAAUACCGCAUAAUGUCGCAAGACCAAAGUGGGGGACCUUCGGGCCUCAUGCCAUCAGAUGUGCCCAGAUGGGAUUAGCUUGUAGGUGGGGUAACGGCUCACCUAGGCGACGAUCCCUAGCUGGUCUGAGAGGAUGACCAGCCACACUGGAACUGAGACACGGUCCAGACUCCUACGGGAGGCAGCAGUGGGGAAUAUUGCACAAUGGGCGCAAGCCUGAUGCAGCCAUGCCGCGUGUGUGAAGAAGGCCUUCGGGUUGUAAAGCACUUUCAGCGGGGAGGAAGGCGGUGAGGUUAAUAACCUCAUCGAUUGACGUUACCCGCAGAAGAAGCACCGGCUAACUCCGUGCCAGCAGCCGCGGUAAUACGGAGGGUGCAAGCGUUAAUCGGAAUUACUGGGCGUAAAGCGCACGCAGGCGGUCUGUCAAGUCGGAUGUGAAAUCCCCGGGCUCAACCUGGGAACUGCAUUCGAAACUGGCA